rnacentral:lncRNA from 1 species
GUUGGCGCCGAGGUCAAAGAGAUCGCUCCACAUCUCGCCCAUAAAGCCGUGCUCUAGUGCUCGAACACGAGCCUCGGCCAGAACCGCACAGUCGCCUUUGGCGUCGCACGCACCGUAACGGGAAUGCGGGUCGGUGCGCCGCUCUAUGGCAUCUGCCGCUUUGUAGGCCGACCGCGCACGCAAUGCCAACGUCCACAGUUUAUGCUGAUCAUCGCUAGACGUGUGGCGCGCAUGGCACAUGAGACGGUGGGCGCUCGCCAGUGCGCGCGAGACGACCAUGUCGAUGGCCGCAUGGGCCAUGGCCGUAUCGGGCGACGCCGAUGCAAGUUGGAGCAAGGCAAUGUCUGUGUCCAAGUCGACUCGCGCGCCAGGGUCCAACAACGGACAGUUGUCGACAUUGAUGCCGCGCAGCGGUCUCAGCGGCGCCAGCAAGGGCGAUUCCCUGUAGAGGCGAAUCAAAAGCGGCGUCUCAAAAGGCCUCGCGCGCAUGGCCGGCCUAGAUCUUGCCAAGAGAUCGACGACGGUCCGAGCACCCAGCACGGUCUCGCCGAGAGCCUCGACAAUCAAGGCCUCAAACUGUUCGGUCCAGUAGAGACUAUUCGAUUGACCCACGCGCGCCAGCAGAAAGAGCGCCUCGUCGACCGUUAUGCACACUUUUUGGUGGCGCCCAUAAUCGCGCAGCAUGUUCCUGGCCGAUUUGGGAUCAUAGAUCAUGCAGCGCGCGAUCGAGUGCAUUCUCUGGGCGCGAACCAACGACCGGUCGAACCACUCGACACUCUCCAGACAGCGGGCGCUCGCCAAGCGCAAUGCGUGACGUCCGCGGAGCACGCGCAGCGCGAUUUGGCGUCGCUUGCGCGCAUGCAAACCGCCGCGCCCAUUGUGCACAUCAUUGUCGUCGCCCCCACUGUCGCCACCGCAGUCGAUGUUUGCGUCGGUGUGCACGUCGACCAAUUGGUCGGGUAUGACGGCGAGUGGAUGCGUGUCGAGAUAGGCGUCGACGUCUUUCGGUCCACAAAGGCGCACGACGGCCACUGUGAGGGAUUCAAAUGGGGUCAUGGUGGCCGAUGCGACGUCGUGCGCACGAGGUCGAGUGAUGGCAUAGUCGAUGAGGCCGCGCCUGCCGCUGGUCACCAUGACGGCGCCGGCAUCGGUCAGCGACGCGCCCAUGGAGAGGCACCAUCGUUCGGCAGCCUCGGGAUCGCCAGCAUAGGGGUCAUCGCCGGGCGCCGUCGCCAACAGCGAUGCCACACACGACGCGCGGACCAUACAUCGAGAUUGAAACGUGGCACAUAUUGACGCCCAAAGGCGGCAUACGGCGCGCGCACAAAAGAGCCAUCGCGCAUCGAGGGUCUCGCCCAAGAUGAGCGCCAACACGUCCAACGGCAAAUCGCUGGCUGUCAUAGAAUAUGGAGGAUGUUGCGCAUUGCCACGCGACGAGGAAUCGUCAGGGACGCGGCAGUCUUGGGUGGCAUCGGGCUCCCUCUUGUCCGCUGUGACAAAAUUGCC